GAUGAACGCUGGCGGCGUGCCUAAUACAUGCAAGUCGAGCGAACAGAUGAGGAGCUUGCUCCUCUGACGUGAGCGGCGGACGGGUGAGUAACACGUGGAUAACCUACCUAUAAGACUGGGAUAACUUCGGGAAACCGGAGCUAAUACCGGAUAAUAUAGUUAAUCGCAUGGUUCAAUAUUGAAAGAUGGUUUUGCUUUCACUUAUAGAUGGAUCCGCGUCGCAUUAGCUAGUUGGUAAGGUAACGGCUUACCAAGGCAACGAUGAUAAGCCGACCUGAGAGGGUGAUCGCCACACUGGGAACUGGAACACGCUCCAGACUCCUACGGGAGGAAGCAGUGGGGAAUCUUCGGCAUGGGGGGAAAGCCUGACGGGGCAACGCCGCGGGGGUGAGGAAGGUCUCCGGAUCGUAAAACUCUGUUAUUAGGGAAGAACAAAUGUGUAAGUAACUAUGCACGUCUUGACGGUACCUAAUCAGAAAGCCACGGCUAACUACGUG
rnacentral:rRNA from 1 species